rnacentral:rRNA from 1 species
UAGGUGAACCUACGGAAGGAUCAUUAACGAACGCUCGAGCGAGGUUGUAGCUGCGUCCCUUCUGGGGCGACGUGCACGCCUCGUCUCUGUCUUCAUCUCUCUCUCACCCACCCCCUGUGCACCUCCGCGUGGGCUCCCGGGCCCACGUCCUUCAUCACGAAUGAACCCAUCGCAUGUGUCGGAACGUCUCGUUUGCUGUAGAAGCAAAAAAAAAAUUGUACAACUUUCAACAACGGAUCUCUUGGCUCUCGCCAUCGAAUGAAAGAAACGCAGCGAAAAUGCGAAUAAGUAAUGUGAAUUGCAGAAAUUCAGUGAAUCAUCGAAAUCUUUGAAACGCCACCUUGCCGCCCUCUUGGUAUUCCGAGGGGCACGCCCUGUUUGAGUUAUCGUGAAAUCCUCAACCCGAAUUCCUUUUCGUCGAAGAAAAGGGGAACGAAGGGCUUGGACUUUGGAGGUCUUGCCGGUCCCCCCCGAAUCGGCUCCUCUCGAAACGCAUUAGUGGAGCUCGUAAGCUCUCUCCGCCCCUCGGUGUGAUAGUCAUCUAUGCCGAUGCGUGAGGGAGGGAAGGCGCCGCUUCUAACGAACCAUGCCUUGCCCUGAUGCGAGAGCGUGGAUAUGGAAACCCUUUGAAUCUCAANUCAGGC